ACGGGUGAGUAACGCGUGGGUAACCUGCCCUGUACAGGGGGAGUAACAGUCAGAAAUGACUGCUAAUACCGCAUAAGACCACAGCACCGCAUGGUGCAGGGGGUAAAAACGUACCGGUGGUACAGGAUGGACCCGCGUCUGAUUAGCUGGUUGGUGAGGUAACGGCUCACCAAGGCGACGAUCAGUAGCCGGCUUGAGAGAGUGAACGGCCACAUUGGGACUGAGACACGGCCCAAACUCCUACGGGAGGCAGCAUG
rnacentral:rRNA from 1 species